GUGUGCCUAAUACAUGCAAGUCGUACGCACUGGCCCAACUGAUUGAUGGUGCUUGCACCUGAUUGACGAUGGAUCACCAGUGAGUGGCGGACGGGUGAGUAACACGUAGGUAACCUGCCCCGGAGCGGGGGAUAACAUUUGGAAACAGAUGCUAAUACCGCAUAACAACAAAAGCCACAUGGCUUUUGUUUGAAAGAUGGCUUUGGCUAUCACUCUGGGAUGGACCUGCGGUGCAUUAGCUAGUUGGUAAGGUAACGGCUUACCAAGGCGAUGAUGCAUAGCCGAGUUGAGAGACUGAUCGGCCACAAUGGAACUGAGACACGGUCCAUACUCCUACGGGAGGCAGCAGUAGGGAAUCUUCCACAAUGGGCGCAAGCCUGAUGGAGCAACACCGCGUGAGUGAAGAAGGGUUUCGGCUCGUAAAGCUCUGUUGUUGGAGAAGAACGUGCGUGAGAGUAACUGUUCACGCAGUGACGGUAUCCAACCAGAAAGUCACGGCUAACUACGUGCCAGCAGCCGCGGUAAUACGUAGGUGGCAAGCGUUAUCCGGAUUUAUUGGGCGUAAAGCGAGCGCAGGCGGUUGCUUAGNUCUGAUGUGAAAGCCUUCGGCUUAACC
rnacentral:rRNA from 1 species